GGCUGGUCUGAGUGCAGUGGUGUUUACAACUAAUUGAUCACAACCAGUUACAGAUUCAUUUGUUCCCUCUCCACUCCCACUGCUUCACUUGACUAGCCUUUU
rnacentral:Y_RNA from 1 species